UAUUAAAUUUGGCUGAAGCCGAAGACAGCAGGAGCGAAUAAAUUAGCUUAAUAUACCUGCCUAGGUUGAUGCAGAUAAUCAGUAAAUGUGAUUUUAGGAAAUAUUCUAUUUUCUUUGAUUA
rfam:Geminocystis sp. NIES-3708 DNA, complete genome.